rnacentral:tRNA from 1 species
GAGAAAGACAUAGUGGUUAUGGAGCUGACUUGAAAUCAGUUUUAGGGGGUUCGAAUCCUUCCUUUCUUA